rnacentral:rRNA from 1 species
UGAGAUUUUGCCCUGGCUCAGAGUGAACGCUGGCGGUAGGCCUAACACAUGCAAGUCUAACGGCAGCACAAAGGAGCUUGUUCCUUGGGUGGCGAGUGGCGGACGGGUGAGGAAUACAUCGGAAUCUACUCUGUCGUGGGGGAUAACGUAGGGAAACUUACGCUAAUACCGCAUACGACCUACGGGUGAAAGCAGGGGACCUUCGGGCCUUGCGCGAUUGAAUGAGCCGAUGUCGGAUUAGCUAGUUGGCGGGGUAAAGGCCCACCAAGGCGACGAUCCGUAGCUGGUCUGAGAGGAUGAUCAGCCACACUGGAACUGAGACACGGUCCAGACUCCUACGGGAGGCAGCAGUGGGGAAUAUUGGACAAUGGGCGCAAGCCUGAUCCAGCCAUACCGCGUGGGUGAAGAAGGCCUUCGGGUUGUAAAGCCCUUUUGUUGGGAAAGAAAUCCAGCUGGUUAAUACCC